rnacentral:rRNA from 1 species
UACGUAGGGAGCAAGCGUUGUCCGGAAUCAUUGGGCGUAAAGCGCGCGUAGGUGGCUUCGUAAGUCCGUUGUGAAAGUCAAAGGCUCAACCUUUGAAAGCCGAUGGAUACUGCGGAGCUAGAGUACGGAAGAGGCGAGUGGAAUUCCUGGUGUAGCGGUGGAAUGCGCAGAUAUCAGGAGGAACACCGGUGGCGAAGGCGGCUAUCUGGACAGAAACUGACGCUGAGGCGCGAAAGCUAGGGGAGCAAACAGG